rnacentral:tRNA from 1 species
GGCGCCAUGGCUUAAUGGUAAAGCGCCUGUCUUGUAAACAGGAGAUCCUGGGUUCGAUCCCCAGUGGUGCCU